rnacentral:rRNA from 1 species
CCUACGGGGGGCUGCAGUGGGGAAUUUUGGACAAUGGGGGAAACCCUGAUCCAGCCAUGCCGCGUGUCUGAAGAAGGCCUUCGGGUUGUAAAGGACUUUUGUCUGGGAGGAAAUCCCUAGCGUUAAUAGCGUUGGGGGAUGACAGUACCGGAAGAAUAAGCACCGGCUAACUACGUGCCAGCAGCCGCGGUAAUACGUAGGGUGCAAGCGUUAAUCGGAAUUACUGGGCGUAAAGGGUGCGCAGGCGGUGACACAAGCCAGAUGUGAAAUCCCCG